rnacentral:rRNA from 1 species
UACAGAGGUCUCAAGCGUUGUUCGGAUUCAUUGGGCGUAAAGGGUGCGUAGGUGGCGCCGUAAGUCAGGUGUGAAAUCUCGGGGCUCAACCCCGAAACUGCACUUGAUACUGCGGUGCUCGAGUACUGGAGAGGAGAUUGGAAUUUACGGUGUAGCAGUGAAAUGCGUAGAUAUCGUGAGGAACACCAGAGGCGAAGGCGGCUACCUGGACAAUUGCUGACGCUCAGGCACGAAAGCGUGGGGAGCAAACGGG